UUUUAUUCACUGAUUACAUAACCUCAUCUAUGCAUUAUAUAACAUGCACAAGAGGCAGAAUGCUUCGUGGUUGGGAACGUGGAUUAUCGACUCAGACUGCAAGGGAAACUUGGCUCAGCCACUUACUAGCUAUGGGACACUGAGUAAAUAAUGUACCCUCUCCGUGUCUUUGUUCUUCAUCUAUAAAAUGAGCUAAUAAUAGAACUACCCUCAGAAAACACAAGCAACGUGCCACAAGAGUGCCUGGCACACAUUCCAUAUUACCAGUCACUGGGCACGCCUUUGUUCGCUAAUUCCUUGCAACAACCCUUGGCAAUAGUCAACGCUGCCUUGAUUUCACAGCGAGAAGCCCAAGACACGGAGGUCUGCCCAGGAUUACACAUCGAGCAACGAUACAUCAGCAAUCCAAACUCAGGUCUUUCUGAGGCCCAAGCCCUGCUGUUCUCGCUAAGCUGCCAGCUUCUCCUGGUAUCUUUCUGAGCCUUCACGUGUCAUUUGGUGAAAGGGCCAGCUGAUUUUAUGAUUCCUUCCAGCAUCCUAAUGCAAGGGGCCUGUAUCAAAGCGGCAGCAACAGAAAUAACAGGCCUGAAUGCUUUCACUUCCACCAAACGCAGGAUCCUUAGGCAUGUGGCUAGAAGCAUUCUGUAUUUAGGGUUCCAAUUUUUUUUUUCCUUUUCUGCUAUUUCUUUCCAGAGUCCUCAGUACAUUUCCUAAUUAAUCACUCCCACUUAAUUUCCUAAAGCAAUCACAUCCUCCCCGCAGGCGAGCGGCCUCGUCUCAGGCAGAAGCGCACACACCAGCUGGCCCCUCGGCUACGUGGGAGUGUGCGAGCAGCCCUUGGACAUGGACCAACGAGCGGCACAGACACAGGAAAAACACAGCUUGGGAGCUACACUCAGAGGGCACUCUUCUCAUCCUGGUGACAUGUGGGUUUCCUGGUGAGCAAAAGGACACUGAGAUUUGGUUCUCCAAGGAAACCAUAAGAUCUAGAAGCUUGGGCUAGAACAUUCCAGAAAGCAGGGAGACUACCAGCAGCUCCUCUGUGAUGCCAGGCAGGGCUAUGCUGGCAGAUGAGGAUCCUAAGACUCAAAGAGAUGAAAGGACUUACUGUAGUCACAGAACGGCACAACUGUUCCUGGAGCUUUAAACCUCCAUGUAAGAAGGUAGACUACUCUAAGGCCACCACGCUGCAAGGAAGCUCAAGCCCCAUAGAGAGGGCACAUGUGGGCGCCCGGAUCAACAGCCCAGCUGAGCUCAGCCUUCGAGCGAACCAGCCCAAGUACGUGACAUGUGAGUGAACAGUCUGCAGACGAUUCUAGCCCAGCCAUUCCAGCCUCCUCCAGUCAUUCCCAUACUCUCCAGCUGAUGCCUCACACCUCAGGGAGCAGAGACCAGACAUCCUUACUGAGCUACGUCCAAAACCCUAACCCAAAGGAGAAUGGAGCGUAACAAAAUGCUCAUGGCUUUACAACACUAA